rnacentral:rRNA from 1 species
UACAGAGGUGGCAAGCGUUGUUCGGAAUUACUAGGCGUAAAGGGCGCGUAGGCGGUCAGGUCAGUCCCGUGUGAAAUCCCUCGGCUCAACUGAGGAACUGCACGGGAAACUACCUGGCUUGAGUUCGGGAGAGGGAAGCGGAAUUCCGGGUGUAGCGGUGAAAUGCGUAGAUAUCCGGAGGAACACCGGUGGCGAAGGCGGCUUCCUGGACCGACACUGACGCUGAGGCGCGAAAGCUAGGGGAGCAAACGGG